rnacentral:miRNA from 1 species
UGAUGAUGAUGAUGAUGAUGAUGGUGUGAUAUCAUUCUUAUUUUUACCCCAUCAUCGCCCAGCAUUGCUGGCGCUUUGAUCAAGCAUUACGCUUACACCAUCAUCAUCAUCGUCA